CCCAAGCUCGCGCUUCUCUCUCUCUCAAAAUCACUCUUCAUCUCCCCUAUCUCACUAAUCAUCUAUCUCUCCCACUCUCCCUCUCUUCCACUCAACAAAACUACCUCUCUCUUCUCACAGCUCCCAUCUUCCUCCUUCGCCUUUACAAAAUCAGAGAAAGUGGGAAGAAGAAAACAUGUAUCGCGAAAUAGACGAUGAUUGAGAAAUCGAAACCCAAAUUUCUCUUACUCCUUCUCUCCACCCCUUUCUGUAAAACCCUAGCUUUCUCUCUCCGCCGCCCCAUCAAUUUAUGUUUCAGAUGAAAGGGUCAAUACAGAAGCCCACCGAACUGGUUGAAGAUCUCUACUGUCGAUUGGUCGUGGUCCUUUAUCCGCUAAUCCUUCAUCUCAUUCCGGUGGUGCUGCUCUGCGUCUCAGGCCUCUUUUCCAAUCUGGUUUAGGCGUUUUGCUUUGUUUUUAUCUGGCAGAUCUCAAAGAAUGCAUACACAAGGAUAAACGGCGUGGUUAAAGAAUUGGAUUGGCUGGUUCUGCUAGGCCUCAUUGAUUGGUGUGCUGGCGUUAAGGUAUACCUUCACUGAUUUUUGUGAUCGUUGCUUAUUGAAGGUCUUUAGAUGCCACUGAUUUUACUUCAUAUCGAAGAUUAUUGCGGUGUCAUCGGAUUUGUUCUGCUAGUUUCCAAGUUUUACUGGUGUAAACCAAUGAUUACUGUUAUUGGUGGCUUUUGGAGGUUGUUUUGCCGAUUGACUGUUUACCACAGUUCAGUUUUGUUUGUAUGGAAUGCCCAAGCAUGUGUCAAGUCCCAUGUUAGGUCAAUUUGUAAGCCUACACAGAGAGCUGCAUCAGUGACAAAUUUUAGAUAUCUGCACUGAUGUGGCGAAUGUGUCCUUGAGUAAGGUCAAUUUUGUCGGAGCUCACCCCUGAUACAGCCGUCUGGUCUCAAGCAGCUCGAGAAGAUCCAGAUCUGAUUGAGCUGGCUGUCAUUGUAUGUUUGGAAUUGAGAGGGGGGCAUUUUGAUCCUAGAGUGCGUAGAGUAGGAAAGCAGUCAUUUAAAGGGUGAAGAGCAUGAACUUGUCAUAUCCAGUGCUAGAAAUGAUGCCGAUCCUCUUCUUGAAUUGGUUCUCGCUCAGUGGUCAGGUUGCCUUGGCAAUUUAUUAGCUGUAAUAAAGACAUCAUCAAGAUACAUUCUGGUAUGCUCCAACUGAGAUGUCUUAUCAACAUGUGGGGAUGAAGCUUUUAAGUCAACUAUUCUUAGCUUCAGCUCAUUUAUAGAUAACACGGUCCACUUCUUAAUGGCAUUAUGUUUAUGUUCUUGGGUGCUUUGGUAUUAUGUUUUAAUUCUGUCUCUUGAGUUUGGGGCACCUCAGCUUUGUAACCUGACUCUAGACUGUAGAAGUAAAAAUCUAGGUUCUGAUUCCAGUGCAACGGUUAUAAUUUCUUGCAGCGGGUUACCUCAACUCAGCGAUACGACGGUAUUUGGAGAAUAAUUUGUUACAAAUAAUUGAAAUCUGAGUUGCAAUUCAAUUCUUAAUACUUUCUGUUGUUUUAUUGUCUAAGGUUGGUGUGCGAGGACAUAAUUGGGGGUCUAGAGGAUAUUGCCAUUCCAGCUAGCAAUUUGGUCGAUGAUCCGCUUGUUGCUCCUACAGGCAAGUUGAUCAUGUUCAUGGAGUAAUACUUGUUACUUAGAUAAAAAAAUGUUUAUAGGCAAGUUGGAAUUCAAAUUUCAUCCAGUUGUCUUGUUGAUUUGAGUCAUUCUUCCUUAUCAAAUUACUUUGCCCUCUUCAGUUGCAAUGGUGGAACUUUUUCUUGGAUCUUUUUAUAUCCCUCAAUUUUAGGUUACACGUAUUGCAAGUCUAUUCAAGUUGCGCAAAACGUGAAGCUUUCCAGAAAUGCCACUGGAUGCAAUUGCAAAGGAAGUUGUGUAGACUUCAAGACCUGCCAAUGUGCCAAACUUAAUGGUGAAACCCACAAGUCCAGCUUAUGCUUUGCCAGUUGAUGUUGUAAAUAUGGUUAUCAUAGCAAGCAUAAAGGAGUUAAGGCUUACAGCUGUUGGUGCAUUGUUUUCACUUAUUUGUGAGGUUUAGGAUGUUAAUGCGCAUCACAUUUAUGGAUAAGUAUAAGUUUAUGGUUAGUGUUUUAUGGUUAGGGUUAAUGUUGGGAUGGAAUGACUUUGUUGAA